rnacentral:rRNA from 1 species
AGGCCUUGCUNUCGGAGUCGAUUUAGCCAUGCUAGUCGCACGGGUUUAGACCCGUGGCGGAUAGCUCAGUAACACGUGGCCAAACUACCCUGUGGACGGGAAUAACCUCGGGAAACUGAGGCUAAUGCCCGAUACGGCUCGCACGCUGGAGUGCGGCGAGCCGGAAACGUUCCGGCGCCACAGGAUGUGGCUGCGGCCGAUUAGGUAGACGGUGGGGUAACGGCCCACCGUGCCGAUAAUCGGUACGGGUCAUGAGAGUGAGAGCCCGGAGACGGUAUCUGAGACAAGAUACCGGGCCCUACGGGGCGCAGCAGGCGCGAAACCUUUACACUGCACGACAGUGCGAUAGGGGGACUCCGAGUGCGAGGGCAUAUAGUCCUCGCUUUUCUGUACCGUAAGGUGGUACAAGAAUAAGGGCUGGGCAAGACCGGUGCCAGCCGCCGCGGUAAUACCGGCAGCCCGAGUGAUGGCCGCUAUUAUUGGGCCUAAAGCGUCCGUAGCCGGCCAGACAAGUCCGUUGGGAAAUCGGCGCGCUCAACGCGUCGGCGUCCGGCGGAAACUGUCUGGCUUGGGGCCGGAAGACUCGAGGGGUACGUCCGGGGUAGGAGUGAAAUCCCGUAAUCCUGGACGGACCACCGGUGGCGAAAGCGCCUCAGAAGACGGACCCGACAGUGAGGGACGAAAGCUAGGGUCUCGAACCGGAUUAAAUACCCGGGU